GCCAGUAUGGUGUAGUAGUUUGAACAUUGGACUGCGACUCUGAAGUCCAGGGUUCAAGCCCAUGCUCAGCCA